AUAAAAAGAAACACGUGAUAGUGGCUCCUAAGUCAACACCCCUUUUCGGUUGCCCGUCGGACGACGUUAUAAAUGUACCCCUAACCAUGGCGCUGCGCAUGUGGGGGAGCCACUUCGUGCCAGGACUUCCGGCGGGCAAUGACGUCUGCGCGCACCGAGCAGCGGGUCUGUGAGUGGAACGGCUUGCUCAGCCCUGUUCUCAGAGCUCUUUUCCUGCAGAUACAUUCACAGCACAACAGAUCCCAGGCGCCUUUGAUUCUCCCAACCUCCGACACAGAGAGCACCCGACAUGGAGCGCACGGCAUCGGCUUUGUCAGAUGAAAGGGCUGUUUCAUGAGUAAUGCCUGGCGGUGCUCAGAGACUCCUCCUGGGGUCACCCCUGUUGUUGCUGAGUGACCUUACAGUGGCGGGGAUGGAGGAUUGAACCAGGGCUA